rnacentral:snRNA from 1 species
GCUUCUCAGCCUUUUGGCUAAGAUCAAGUGU